rnacentral:lncRNA from 1 species
UUUUAAAACUUAUUUGAACUCCGGACUUCUUUUGUGUUCAGUAUGCAGCAUUUAAAGCGACGUCAUCAAUUUUCAACAUGUUCUGACAUCAUUUGUUGUUUUUCGGUCAUUUACCUAAUUGUUUAGAGAGCUAAAUGACCGUGAAAUUGAAAAUCACUACAAAAUGAAUCCUGAAAAUGUUGAAACUUGGCAUGGUAUCAUCAUAUCACCCACAUAGCAUGCGCGAAAGAGUAGAGAGGGUCACGGCAAAAACUGGACGCACUUCGUGUACAAACUGGACAUACUCUUUCCGAGUAUCAGGGUUUCGGACGAGAUCAACUCAUCUGUUACAUGGCCACUUCAAUGUUUUUUAAACUUAUUUGAACUCCGGACUUCUUUUGUGUUCAGUAUGCAGCAUUUAAAGCGACGUCAUCAAUUUUCAACAUGUUUUGACAUCAUUUGUUGUUUUUCGGUCAUUUACCUAAUUGUUUAGAGAGCUAAAUGACCGUGAAAUUGAAAAUCACUACAAAAUGAAUCCUGAAAAUGUUGAAACUUGGCAUGGUAUCAU